rnacentral:piRNA from 1 species
UUAGAGUGGGUGCCCAAGGGAUAAAUGGU